CACAAAGGAGGGACGAGUAGAGAAGGUCUGAUCAGUCGAAAAACUAAAAAGAUACCCGAAACAGCUGCAAUUUUUUCUGAUGGACAAUUUGGAGGCUUAUCAAAAGUCGGGUCUCCGAUUAGCUAUGUGGCUAAAGUGGCUCAGACCCGCUGAGCUCCCAUGCAAGGAGAAAAGCCUGCAGGCGAUAUCUCGGAAAUCUGACAAAAUGAAACAGAAGGAAGCUUUUACGCAGAUGGAAGCUAUUAUACUGUAAUAAUAAACCAUGGGAGGAAAACCACGGGAGAGACGAGAUGACAGAGAUGGAGAAGGGGAAAUCUUCGGAGGGAUCACGGGCCAGCACACGUGUCGAUCGGGCCCGCGGAUCAGCGCCUGUGCUCAUUUCCAUCACCUUGACGGCUGAGACCUACAUCGCACCACCGGGGACGAAAUGCAGAACGUGGCCUCCUCUCCAAAAUGUAUGCAAUCCCUUUUCCCAGAGAUGUGAGAUCUUUGAUUCUUUGAUUCGUCGUGCAGAUGUUUCACGCCUCCAGGCCCGAUGUUGAAGGAUGAACACAUCAUCUUUAACACAACAAAAUCUCUUCUCCCACUAUUUUGCUCCCCGAUGGCGUGUGCAAUUUUGUUUUGGUUCUUCUCGGUUCAGCGCUGCGGUCAGGCUCUGACAGUAGCCCCGUCCCUCGCCCCGUGUGCCCUCAGUCACAGUGUGUUUAACAUCUGCCCCGUGGGCCUGUACCUCUCACGGCCUUUCAGCACCCGUCGCUGCUCGCUCAAAGUCCCAGCGCCGCGGUGCUCUGCAGUCGCGCCUAAAAACCGCCCUUAUUAGCCGCGGCUCGAGCGCCGUCAUCGUCGGUGUCACGAUCAAACAGAGGCCAGUGCCUCGACGCUGGAAUCUGUCAACGAUCAAGGGGAGCGACGGACGAAAUGUCACACUGUGGCUGCGGGACAUAUCUCGAAAAGACAUCCAGCACCUGCAGGAAAGAAAAGAGGGGCAGCUGGUCCUCGGAAAGAGGAGUGAGCCAUCAUCCGGAGGCAAGCCCCUCCCUCGCAGCACCGCACCCUCCCCCUCGCCUCUCACCUCUAACCUCUCACCCCUCACCCUCAACAGCAGCAUGAUACGGCUUUGAGAGCAUUGGGGUGAGCUAGGCCGCGUUCUGCUUGCAUCAGCAUCCUCUGUGUCCUCCAAAUUGCCUUCGAAAGCACUUAGUUCAAUAGGAGGGGAUGGGGGGGGGCGGCUAAGGACUGUUUCUGUCGUGUUUGCCAUGUUUGCAGCAUUUGCAUGGCAUCGGCACCGACACUGAGGGACAACAAGA
ensembl:lncRNA